rnacentral:lncRNA from 1 species
CAGCUUCCAUGCUACCCGGUCUCCCACUAAGGUUUCCUGCAACAAUAGGUGAGUUUAAUGAGUAACCUAAUGUCACUCAGUGAGCCAGGGCCCCAACUAACAAAUACAACCCCUCGCCAUCCCAACCACAAACAAUCUAAGACGAGGAGUUCACCUAACAAUAACACAACAAUAAUAAUCAUCACUCGAGACUUCCCCCGUGAAAACCCGAGUGACUCAACAAGAACAUAAAUAAGAUAAGAAGCAGAAUAUAAUCCACCAUUAGCAUAAUAAUAUAAUAUAUGCUAAGA